GACGAACGCUGGCGGCGUGCUUAACACAUGCAAGUCGAACGGAAAGGCCCUGCUUUUGUGGGGUGCUCGAGUUGCGAACGGGUGAGUAACACGUGAGUAACCUGCCCUUGACUUUGGGAUAACUUCAGGAAACUGGGGCUAAUACCGGAUAGGAGCUCCUGCUGCAUGGUGGGGGUUUGAAAGUUUCGGCGGUUGGGGAUGGACUGGCGGCCUAUCAGCUUGUUGGUGGGGUAGUGGAUUACCAAGGCUUUGACGGGUAGCCGGCCUGAGAGGGUGACCGGCCACAUUGGGACUGAGAUACGGCCCAGACUCCUACGGGAGGCAGCAGUGGGGAAUAUUGCACAAUGGGCGGAAGCCUGAUGCAGCAACGCCGCGUGCGGGAUGACGGCCUUCGGGUUGUAAACCGAUUUCGCCUGUGACGAAGCGUGAGUGACGGUAAUGGGUAAAGAAGCACCGGCUAACUACGUG
rnacentral:rRNA from 1 species